AUCGUGCCGCGGCGAGCCAGUCGCACCCACCGAGUUGGGUCAGGGAAUCCGGUGAGAGACCGGAGCUGACGCGCAGCGGUAUGGGGGACGGGCGGAGCAUCGGCCACUGGACCACGAGGUCCGGGAAGGCGCUCCUCCCGGUCGAUCCCGAGCCCGAAGACCUGCUGGCUUGCGGCCCUCCGC
rnacentral:ncRNA from 1 species